rnacentral:rRNA from 1 species
ACGCCGCGUGAGUGGGGAAGUAUUUCGGUAUGUAAAGCUCUAUCAGCAGGGAAGAAAGAAAUGACGGUACCUGAGUAAGAAGCUCCGGCUAAAUACGUGCCAGCAGCCGCGGUAAUACGUAUGGAGCAAGCGUUAUCCGGAUUUACUGGGUGUAAAGGGAGCGUAGGCGGCAGAGCAAGUCUGAUGUGAAAGCCCGGGGCUCAACCCCGGUAGUGCAUUGGAAACUGUUCAGCUCGAGUGUCGGAGGGGUAAGCGGAAUUCCUGGUGUAGACGGUGAAAUGCGUAGAUAUCAGGAAGAACACCGGAGGCGAAGGCGGCUUACUGGACGAUUACUGACGCUGAGGCUCGAAAGCGUGGGGAGCGAACAGGAUUAGAUACCCUGGUAGUCCACGCUGUAAACGAUGAAUACUAGGUGUCGGUACCCGAAGGGUAUCGGUGCCGUCGCAAACGCAUUAAGUAUUCCACCUGGGGAGUACGUUCGCAAGAAUGAAACUCAAAGGAAUUGACGGGGACCCGCACAAGCGGUGGGGCAUGUGGUUUA